CACUGCGCGCCUCACCUAUUUGAAAUAUUUUUGACAGACGCCAUUUUCUUUCCUCGCGAUGCGGAGCAUAUGAGGACGGGGAACAACAAAAUAAAGUGUUUAAUCUUACGCACAAAAUGUGUUUUGUAAUAUCAUAUCGUUUUAUAACGAUAUUAAUGUGCUGUAUGCCGCUAAACUUUUCUCAAAGACAUUUCUUUCACUCGCCAUGCGGAACAGACGGGAGCGCUGUGCAAUUAAUGUUCCCCCUAAACUUUUUCUUUGAGAGACAACGUUAUUUCUUUUCACUCGCGAUGCGGAGCAGACAGGGCUGUUGGUUUUAUCAAGGAAAACACAGAAAGUAAGUGUUUUACCUCAUUUACAUUAUGCAUAAUAAUUAUGACCACCGUAUUUCUGUGUUGUGCUCUCCUGAACUUUUUCUCAGAGAGAUAUUUUCUUUCAAUCGCGAUGCGGAGCGGAUGGGAAAGUUGGUUUUAUUAAGGAAAAGUGUUUUACUGCAUUUACAUUAUGUGUAAUAUUACUGUAUGAUGAUAUUAAUAUGCUGUGUGCACCAAACAUUUCUCAUAGAUCUGAAUUGCUGUGCAGUGCUGAGGUGUAGGUUGCUUUUAAAAGGAAAACACUAGAAGUGUUUUAUCUCAUUUAAAAUAUGUAUUUAAGUAAGUGUUUUACUUCAUUUACAUUAUGUAUUUUAUAAGAUAAUAUUACUUUAUGAUGACAUUUAUACAUUCUGCAUGACAUCUGCUUGGUUUAAUGGGCGCGCACACUGAACAUUCAAGUCUGGAGCAGAAGGAGUUACCAUGGAAAUGGGCGGAAACUCAACUGUCGAGCAGCAAAACACAUCUUCCACUGAUGUUUUCACAAAUUCAGAAAUGGUUUAUUGUCUUCAGAAAAAGUCUGUUAGCAUCUGAACUGUAAUGCUAACUAUAAGAGGUUUUGCAGGCAAUUUGUCAUUGGAUGAAAGGAACAGUUUCCGAAAAAAACUUCUACGACACAGGAAAAGUUCCUGAUUUUAAAAUUUCUGAAGAGAGCUGCUGACAGAGAUAUAAAAAACACAGAAUCUUCCAUUCUAAUGGCCGUGCACCAGAGUUGGAGCGUAUCUCCUGUCAAAGAACAUCUCUAGACAUUAUGAACCAUAUGACCAAGACUGAAAAUCACCAAUAAAACACAAGUGGAUUGAUAGCUCCAACACCAAUUAAGCUGACCUGAGCAGCUGAUCAAGGAUCACCAGAAACUCUGCAGAACUUCAGUACCCAGUCCUCAAUAAGUCCUCAAUACCCAGGACAAACCAGAGUUAUGCUGGAGAAAAAGCAGCCAGGCUAAAGCAUUUAAAGUGGAAACUUUUGUCGUGGCUCAAAAAUCCAGGAUUGGGAUGGUGGAAGAAGCAGAAGAACCAGAGAUCAGGCAGAGAGCUACUGAUGCCCCUGAGGGAACUGUUUAACUAAUGUGUUAGUUAAACCAAAAAUUUUCAGCACUCACCUUCAUGUCUUUCCAAACCUGUAAAACUUUUGGUCAUCUUUGAAACAUAAAUGUAGAUCUUUUUAAUGAAAUCUGAGAAAUUUUUGUCCCUCUAUUUCACAGUUUAUGCAACUACCACUUUCGAGCCUCAGAAAGGUAGUAAAGACAGAAUUAAAGUAAUCUGUGUGACUCCAGUUGUUUAACCUUAAUUUUAUGAAGUGAUGUGAAUGGUUUAUAUGCACAAAAAUAUUGCAUUUUUAUUCACACACAGACAAAAAUCUUAUGGUGCUUUUGUGAAAAUGCGUUGGAGAUACCUGAUGUAUGAAUAAAGGCGUAAUUUUGUUGUUGUUGCUGUUUUCUGCAUACACAAGGCAUCUGUUAAAAAUAUCUUUAUUUGCAUUCUGCACAGAAGUUUCUUAUGGGUUUGGAGAGACAUGAAAGUAAGUAAUUAAUGGCAAAAUUAGCAUUUUUUGGGUGAGAUGUGUUCUAAUGUGUUUAGAAUUGGUCAUUGUCCUGUGUUAUAAACAUUUUCAGUAUUUCAAAGAUUACUGUUUUGAAAAAUCAGUUUCAAAUAAAUACUGCUCCUUUGAAAGUUCUAUUUGAAGAAUACUAAUAAUAUGUUUUCCACAAAAAAUAUUUGUGCUGUUUUCCACUUUGAUAAUAAUCUGAAAUGUUUCUUGAGCAGCAAAUCAUAUUAAAAAUGUUUUCUGAAGGGUCAUGUGACACUGAAUACUGGAGUAAUUAUGAUGAAAAUGUAGUUCACAUGAAUAAAUUACCUUUCACAAUGUAUUCAUAUAGAAAACAUAUAGUUAUAUUUUAUAAUUUUACUGUUUUUAAGGUGUGUAAUCAAA